rnacentral:lncRNA from 1 species
CUCGCUGCCUCACUUUUCAUUUUCUUCAUUGAUUGGAUUUAGAUUUGCCAUCUUUACUGUUUGCUCUUCUAACAUAACUUUCACUCUUUUCUCUAUACAAAAAUCAUAGGUACUGUGAUGUGAACAUGUCAAUGAAAAACAUACUCCCUUUGGUCAUUUAUCUAACUUAUAAAUGUAUCUAAUUUGUAAAUGUGACAGGGUACAUUAAUUAUUCAAUGUAAGAUACAUUGAAUAAUUCAUGUAUCUAAUUUAUAAAUGUGACUGAGUACAUUAAUUAUUUAAGAGAUGUACCCCAUCAUCAGAUUUGAGUUUCAACAAUGAAUAUAAUCACUUUAAUUAGCAACAAAAAUGAAGAACCUAUCAGAGUUUUCACUGAUGACUAAUAAUCUAAC